rnacentral:rRNA from 1 species
AUUGAACGCUGGCGGCAUGCCUUACACAUGCAAGUCGAACGGCAGCAUAGAGAGCUUGCUCUCUGAUGGCGACUGGCGAACGGGUGAGUAAUGCAUCGGAACGUACCGUGUAAUGGGGGAUAACGUAGCGAAAGUUACGCUAAUACCGCAUACGACCUGAGGGUGAAAGCAGGGGAUCGCAAGACCUUGCGUUAUACGAGCGGCCGAUGUCAGAUUAGCUAGUUGGUGAGGUAAAGGCUCACCAAGGCGACGAUCUGUAGCGGGUCUGAGAGGAUGAUCCGACACACUGGGACUGAGACACGGCCCAGACUCCUACGGGAGGCAGCAGUGGGGAAUUUUGGACAAUGGGGGCAACCCUGAUCCAGCCAUGCCGCGUGAGUGAAGAAGGCCUUCGGGUUGUAAAGCUCUUUCGGCCGGGAAGAAAUCGCACAGGCUAAUACUCUGUGUGGAUGACGGUACCGGCAUAAGAAGCACCGGCUAACUACGUGCCAGCCGCCGCGGUAA